GCUUACGACCAUACCGGCCUGAGUAAGCCUGAUCUCAUCAGAUCUCAGAAACUAAGCAGGGUCGGGCCUAGUUAUAGUACUUGGAUAGGAGACCGCUUGGGAAUACCUAGUGCUGUAAGCU
rnacentral:rRNA from 1 species